AACCAAAACAUACAAACAGAGAUGUUACUCUUUCCUGGAAUUCGCUUACCGUUUUCAUUUUUACCACCACUCUUUACAAUUACUUCGCUCUUUACAUUUUAUUCAUUCUUUUAAUUUUCUUCGUUGUUUAUAUUUACAUCGCUCUUUACAUUUACCUCGCUGUUUACAAUGGCUAGACAAGGAACUGAAGAAGAAGAGGCGGCUGCACAAUCCUAAAAUCGCAGAGGCAGUCCGUCCGCUACACAACUCUGAGAUUAAGCUCGUUUUAGUGGAGCACUGUCCAUAAGCCCAGAAUUGCGCGAUGAAGGCCUGAAUAAAAAUGACAUUGUUGUUGCCUGCAAGACAUACUACGAGACCGUGCGUGGAAAUUUCCAGUCCAGCCAGCCUGAGCUAGCGAAUGUGGAUGCAGCUAAUAAGACCUCAGCCCGGAGUUGCCAGAGGAG